AGAAGUACCUGUCUCCCGCAUGUUGUCACGGUCAGCCACAUUAAGGAAGCCUCACGUUUCGGCUGAGCCCAAAAGGGGGAUCCGAGAGAGAACCUCUGGAUGUGACUGAGUCAAUGCUAUAACCUGCCAUGGUUCAGUUGCUGGUCUACUCGCAGCUCCCACUCAUGCUCACCUGCCUGCCUCCCUGCCCAGCACUCUGACUUUAACAGACUCAAUCAUCUGGAUUGCCUCUUCUCAUCACCUGGACCACCUACCGCUCUAUACUUCGCCUCCACCUGCUGACUGUGAGAAUUCGGUCACACCCUUUCCCUCUGUGACUCUCCCCAGGGGUCCUGCACUGGAAGUUACCCAGUGUCGGGUCCCCAACCCUCGUCCACGACAGCCCCGAGGCUCCCUCGUAGACCACCUCACAGUACCUGUAGUGAUUUUUCUAGCCGCUCAUUUCUCAGUUUGUGUUUAUGUAAACGUGCGAUUCUCAAAGUGUUGUGUUAACAAAUCACAUUACACUUCAAGUUCAUAGUGUUCCAAAGGAGUAUUUUGAGUGUAGAUUCAUAGUUUACGAUGUUGCUCCACUUAAGUUUAUGGUUAACUUGCAAGUGCUCCUUGUAUUUCUGUUUACU